UAAUACGUAGGGGGCAAGCGUUGUCCGGAAUCAUUGGGCGUAAAGAGCGUGUAGGCGGCUCGGUAAGUCCGCUGUGAAAGUCCAGGGCUCAACCCUGGAAUGCCGGUGGAAACUGUCGAGCUAGAGUCCGGAAGAGGCGAGUGGAAUUCCUGGUGUAGCGGUGAAAUGCGCAGAUAUCAGGAGGAACACCAAUGGCGAAGGCAGCUCGCUGGGACGGUACUGACGCUGAGACGCGAAAGCGUGGGGAGCAAACAGG
rnacentral:rRNA from 1 species